GGGGAUGUGACUCAGUGGUAGAGUGUCUGCCUGGAAAGCAUAGGGCCAAGUUUGAGCCUCAGUGCCA
rnacentral:tRNA from 1 species